rnacentral:rRNA from 1 species
GAUGAACGCUAGCGGCAGGCUUAAUACAUGCAAGGCGAAGGGGCAGCAAUGUCACUGUCGUACGGGUGCGUAACGCGUAUGCAACCUACCUAUCACUGGGGAUAGCCCGGGGAAACCCGGAUUAAUACCGCAUAAACAGGGGCACCGCAUGGUGAUAUUUGUUAAAGAUUUAUUGGUGAUAGAUGGGCAUGCGUUCGAUUAGCUAGUUGGCGGGGUAACGGCCCACCAAGGCGACGAUCGAUAGGGGAGCUGAGAGGUUGAUCCCCCACACGGCGACUGAGAUACGGGCCCGACUCCUACGGGGAGGCAGCAGUAGGGAAUAUUGGGCAAUGGAUGCAAGUCUGACCCAGCCAUGCCGCGUGCCGGAUGAAGGCCCCUCAGGGUUGUAAACGGCUUUUUAUUCGGGAAGAAGAGCAGGGAUGCGUCCUUGUGUGACGGUACCGAAUGAAUAAGCACCGGCUAACUCCGUGCCAGCAG